rnacentral:rRNA from 1 species
CGUAACACGUAUGUAACCUACCUUUACCAGGGGGAUAGCCUCUCGAAAGAGAGAUUAAGCCCGCAUAACAUCACGAUAUAGCAUUAUACUGUGAUCAAAUAUUUAUAGGGUAAAGAUGGGCAUGCGGAACAUUAGCUAGUUGGUAAGGUAAUGGCUUACCAAGGCUACGAUGUUUAGGGGAUCUGAGAGGAUGACCCCCCACACUGGUACUGAGACACGGACCAG